rnacentral:lncRNA from 1 species
AUUCAAUAAAAUAUUCUAUUUUUUUAUAAAACAAUAUUUAUAGAGUUACCGGUAAAUAAUUUUUGUAGCGUAAAAGCUAAAUAAAUUCAUACAUACUGUAAUACAAAUAACCAAAGUAUAAGAUUUGAUUUACAGUGACACGUGAGCCCACGAACGACUAAAAGUAUCAAAAGCGGUAAACCUACAGUUUUUGAGGAUGCAAGUCCAACUGUAGCCCUCAACGAAAUGAGUUAUCUACCAACUAUCCUGAGCCUGAAAGGGGUGAAAAGGAAGGUGGUGAGAUUACAUAAUCCCAGUGAGUAAACAAAUACCAUCUAAAAUAUCUAAAGCUGAGUAAAUGGAGACAAAUAAAAUAGAUUAGCAUAAAAAUGAUUCUCAGCAUUUCAAACUCAUUUUAAUAAGAUAAAUUAAAUUCAUUUAACCAAAAUAAACAAUGAGGCUUAUGACUUCCUAAAAAGUUUGGCUCGUGCCAAAAUCAUUCUCAUACUCAGUUAUUAGGGAUACCUUGGCCGAGGGCUAUCCCAACCGAGUCUGCCAAGGUUGUUAAAAAGUUAUGUACGCAUAAAUCAUGUUUUUUUUUAUUUUGAAAAUAUAGCCGUUCCUUGGCGUUGGCUAAGUUCACCCUCACGUGGCGAUUUAGCGUGAGUGAACUCUAAAGUGUUAACCUCAGGAGUUAUCCAUCCGCGCCUUUCAUACUGAGGUAUGAAUAUAAUAGGGUUACCGUGCCCCUCUAAUAGGCUGGUCCACAGAACCUGUCCACUACAGCGACCAAUUUAUAACCCACCAUACAAUAAAAUUUGCAAUAACAUGACAUGGCAAUUAUUUUAUUUUACAGCCUCUCAAGGCAAAUUAAUAGUUCAUACAUUUUCAACACAAAUACGAAUUCAGCCAUUCAUGCAAAUAUUAUCAUAAGCCAUUCAAUUCAAACCAUGCUUUAUAACACAACAAUUAGUCUCCAAUUACUCCAUUUUCAAAACCAUCUUUCAAUUUCAAGACAAUUUAUAAAAUCAUUUCAUUUAAUCACAUUUUACUUAUAAAACAUAAAGAUUUACCAUUUAAACUCAUUUUCCAUAAAAUCACAAAAUCGGAUAAAAACCACUUUAGAUAAUUAAGACGAUAAUAAGGUUACUCACUGUAAUGGGAAUCGAAUUUCGAGUACUCCGAUUCUUGAUCCUUGGGUACUAUCUCUUUACUUUUGCCAGAAUGCUCACCACCUAGACAAUACACAACACAUAAUUCAAUAUAUUGUGUCAUGCCAUUAUAAAUCUAUUUCAGGCUCUAUACUAAUGCAUGAAAUGGACUGCAAAUUGUUUAGAUUAUCGUCUAAAUACGGUGUUCUAUACAAAUUCAAUUGUGUACCUAAAUAAAACGAUAUUGACCUAAUUUGAUCUAUCACUCGAUUAAUUGGCCAAUAUGUCCAAUUUAACUCCAAUUAAUUUCAUUUUUCUUCCAAUUCUCCAAACCAUCAAACACAAGUUAAAUAACUUGAAAUAUGGCAAAAUCAUCCUCACAUUUUCUCUUGGAAAAUUCGGCCAUGGUGGGUGCAUCAACACUAUAAUUUUUCAAGCUUGAUUCUCACACCAUAAAUCACUAAUUCCUAACCAAAUCACUUUGAAAUAAAAUCAAAAUCAUCAUCAAUAUUCCACAUGGAGAAUUCGGCCAAUGAUGGGUGAUGGGAGAAAAUGAAUUUUUCUUGUUGGCUUUUCAUGCUACACAUCACUAACUAACUAAAAACACUAAAAUACACUGAAAUCUAACCAAAUCAAGCAUCAGAAUCUCUCUCUAAGUGUUCGGCCAGCAAGAUACCCAUUAUGAAAUCAUGUGAUUCAACCAUGAAAAAUAAGAAAAAAUGCUUAAGAAAGAGAGAUCACAAGCUAGAAUUGAAAAAUGUUACUUUUUUCACUUGUUUCAUUGAAUUUUCACACUUUGUUCUUCCUUUGGCCGGCCAUAUGAAGAGAAAUGGACUGAUUUUGUGCUGAUUUUUAAGCCAAAUAAUAAAUGGAUGAAAAUUUGACACAUGUCACCAUUCCAUUGGUCCAUGUGUCACACUUACCCAUUAAGCAAUCUCUCUCCACCACUUAAAUUUUCUCAAUUAUCCAUGAUAAUAUUGGGUAAAAUCCAUGUGCUGGACAAGUGUUGGGUGAUGUAAAAUUACAAUUUUGCCCUUGGGUGGCAAAAUGACUAUUUUACCCCUAUGCUAGAAAAAUAUCGAAAUUAAAAUUCUUCACUUCUCAAACUCAAAUUAUACUCCAAAUAAUCAAUCUUAGUCAAAAAUUUCAUCCAACACUCACAUUUUAACCUCGGGUAGCAAAAUGACCAUUUUUCCCCUAGCUCAUGAAAAUCCAAUUUGACUCCAAAUAGGUCCUCAAACUCUAAAUCACUAUUUUAAGUCAUUCUGGGGUUUUAAAAUUCUCAAUUUCAUUUUAAAAUCUCUAUUUGGACUAGUUCGAGGCUUAAUUCAACUUAAUUGUACCAUUGGUACAUUACCGUCCUUUAACGAUUUUUGAGAUACCCAAGUAAACAAACAUGCAUUCUUAUGUAAAAAUGACAUAAUAAACAUAUUGUAGAGUCAGGCUUGACAACUACCAUGGCUUUGGGAAUCCGGUGGAGGGGGGCCUCUCGGAUGUUAUUACUUGGAAGCGAGUCCACGAGUUGAUUAUUAUGAUUACCUAGUCGAGAGUGAUAUCUCUUUGGGUUUUCCAACAUGUAUUCUUUCGCAUGGUGAGAAUUACAAGUUUUUUCGUAGCUCCUUUAUUUAUUUUGUAUUUAAUUCUUCGGGGAUGAGAUGAUUUAUGAGCUUGUGUAUAAGCUUUGAUAAUGCUUGAUUUUACUGAAGCAUGCAUUCUUAUGCCGGUUUGAUUUAAGUAAAGGAUGUUAAAUGAUUUCGAUGGUAGAAAUCUUUCCCUUGCACUUGCUUUGAUAAAUUAAUUGAAAUGAUUAUUUUGCAUCAAAAUUCUUGGGUUAUAUGUAAGGCACAAAUGUUCCAUUUUAGUUUAAAUUGUUUAUAUACAUUCUUAUGUUUUUAAUAUUCAAAAUUUCUAUCCCUGGCUUAUUUCCCAUCUACACCCUGCUCACAGAGCCGAUAAUCACUGAGUUUGUGAGACUCAUCUCCUUUAUCUUCCCCUUUUUGCAAAUAAGUGAUCAGCUCAAGUGUAUUGCCUCAGCAUAUUUGACUUGCUAUGACGUAGGUAAUGGCAUCUCUUAGACUUCCACUCCGAGUCGCUCUGCUGCAUAAGGGUCAUGUUGUGUAAAACAGUUAGACUUAUAGAAAUUAUUAGUUUAUCGAAAAUGUAAUGCUAAAAUCCUUGAGGUUGUGUAAUGGAUUCUAAGUGUGAGGUUUGAAUUUAUCUUGAAGUUUACUAGAAUUGGACAUUGUUAUCUAGUUGCUACAUCUUAAUUACAGCUUCUUAUUCGUUUAAGUAAACGAUAGUAUUAUUACAAGUCGGCAAAAUGUUUAAUAAUUGUCACAAGUGGAACGUUAUAAUAAAAUCCAAGGCGAUUCAUUUACGCAGUAAAAUGUUUGAUGGGUUAACAAGAAUCUCAACUAAGACUUGUUUGGGAUUUGGCGAGUUCUCUCGUAAGUCUCGAAUGCCAAUAACAAUUGGGAAGAGAGUCAUUACACAACAAGAUUCAUAUCAUUAUACAUAAUUGUACAUUGUUUACUUUUCUCACUCCUUUACUUUGUGAACUAUUUCCUUAUUUAUUAACUUUCAUUCCUUUUAAACUUUCAAAAUUCUUUUUAAAAGUGUUAUUCACCCUUUUAGAUAGCCCACCUAGGAUCAAUAAUAUUAAGUUAAAAUUGUUUAAAUUUUUGAGUUUGUAAGUGCAAAGCAAUUAUUUGCAACAAAUACAUUGUGUUAGGAUAAAAAAAAUCAAAUGUCUUGAAACAACAUAUUUAAAAUAAGGAUUAACCGUAAAACACAAAAAUGAAAGUGUCAUAAGAUAAUAAUAAAUUUUAUAUUAAUAUAGUUUAAUAUAAUUAUACUUUACAUGUGCGAGAUGUUUUUUUAUCAAUAAUUAAUUGAUUUUAAAUGGAAUGUUCACAAAGUUAUAAUGGAUUUAGAGCAAACUCAAUCUUCAUUACCCUACGGAAGGAAACAAAUAAGGUGGUACAAUGUGUUUGAUACAAAGAGGUAAUUGUGUGUUACAAAAGUUCGUUUAGUAGAUACAUUCACUAGCUUGUUAUAAUACAAAAAUAUUGCUUUGUUUUGUAGAAGAAAAGAAAAAAAAAAAAGAAGACCCAUCGGGACUAGAAAGGGCUGCAUCAGAACAGUAAACGAGUAGAUUUUCCGUCGAAGAAUGAAAAGAAGUAUCGCAAAGGGAACAAACUUUGCAUCCAUCAUCCGUGUGGAUAUAAAGUUAAGCCUCUGCCAGUUUGGGCCACAAAUAGCAACCGUACAUGAUUGAGACACGCGUGAGAGGACGCGUCUCGUCUACUUCCUGUGAGCAUUUGGUUGCUGAUUGCUGAUGGCUCAGUCAGACACAGACAAAGGAAUCACCAAUGAACAAGUUAACACCAUACAUGAACAUAAUCUGUUUGUCUCAAAUCAUGGACAUGCGUGCUGUCACGCACUAUGGAGAAACAGUGGGAAUGGGACGGAUGAUGCCAAAGGAAGGCCCCAAAAGCCAAGGCAAAUGCCUAGCCAAUCAAAACAAAACUUCUCACAGUAAUAAUAAAAAUAAUAAAAUCUUAAAAUCUUUAUAACACUCAUUGGUAAGCAUUUGGUCAGUCCCUUACUUUGACUUUAUAAAUUUAAAACAUUAAAUUAAUUAAACGCUUAUAAAAUAAGUGAGACCAAUCAAAUUGUAAUAAAAAAACAAAAAUAAUCGAACUCGAUCAGUUCAAUUAGUUAUUUUUCCACUAGGAUGAAGAUAAUUUUUAAAUAUAUUUUGAAAAUAUUAAUAAUAUUUAUAUAUCUAAAAAUAUAUUAUUUCGAUUGUUUGAUUGUAAAUUUUGAAUAUAAAAAUAGAUUCAAACAAUCAAAUAAAUUGUUUUUUUUAAUUGAUUAAUAUCGAAAUAAAAAAAAAUUGAUUUGAAUUAAUCGAAUCUAAUCCAUUUUGAUCAAUUAUUUCAAUUUUAAUCAAUCAAUACUCACCCUAACUGUCAAUUUUUCAAUUCAAAGUUCCUCUCCUGGAUUCUAAUCUUUCAAGUAGUACUAGCCUUUUUAAAAAUAUAAGAAAAUAAACAUUUAAUUUGAAAUGAUAAAUUAAUGGGUAAUAAUAAUAAUAUAAAGAUUUAUAUUUGAUAUAUUGUUAGUAUCCUAUCAGUGAGUGAAAUGUUGUGACCGUUCUUAAUAUAUAUAAAUUCCAAAAUUAAAAACACUCAAAAUAAAAUAUUCAUAAAAUUAAAAAUAUUUACUUUGAAAGAUUUUUAAAUUUUUAUUUUUACAUGUGUUAAUAGAUGGUACUUUGAAGUUAAAGUGGGAGUAUGUUACCAGCAAGACAAGUUACCUUAAUUGAAUGUUAACCAAUAAGGUAGUGUAUGGCGAUGUUAUCCAGUGAGAAGGAUUGCCAACGUUUUUAUUGUGAAAAGGAAAAGAAAAUGAAUAAAAGCCCAAAUCUCGGAAAAACAAAAUGAAAAUAUCCAAAUAAGAGAGAAUUUAAGAAAAGCAUCAGACACAGUACUCAUGAUAAAAGCUGAAAAGAAGAAAACAAGAUCCACCUCGAACCUCUCUCCACUCUCAUCAAUCCCCUCUCUCUCUUCUGAUUCUGACCUCGAAUCCGAGCUCUCCAGGCUGCGGACGGGGUAGGAAAGCGCAUCUUCCUUUUGUGGGUAUUGCCUUGCUCGCUCUUCUUUAAUUUUUAUUUUCCAAUCAUGCUGUUUUGUUUUUUUUAAUCAUAUCCCAAUCCUAUAAAUAAAUUCUGAAAUUCGAUGAUGGUCUGUAUGUCGCAGGAGCAGCGGCAGCAGCAGCAGAGUUGGGAGCUGUUGGUCCAAAUUUAGGUUUCGAUUUGUUGCUUUUCAAAAUUUACUUGUACUAAUAAUUAUAAUUAUUAUCACAAUUUGUGAAUAAUGAGGGAUGAAGACUCAAAUUGGUUCGCAAGAUGGGAGGAAGAGCUGCCAUCACCAGAAGAGCUGAUGCCUCUUUCACAAACCCUAAUCACACCUGAUCUUGCUCUCGCCUUCGACAUUCGAAACCCAAACCACCACCACCACCUUCAACAACAACAACAACAGCCACAGCCACCGCCUCCUCCUCCACCCUCCGCAGCCGGGCAGCCUCCUUCUCAGCCCACUUCGGCCGAAUUUGCUGCUGAUUCCGGUGACUUGGGGUCCGGGGCUGCUGGAGAUGAGCCCGCACGCACUCUCAAGCGGCCUCGCCUUGUGUGGACCCCACAGCUCCACAAGAGAUUCGUUGACGCCGUGGCUCAUUUGGGGAUAAAAAACGCCGUCCCCAAGACCAUAAUGCAGUUUAUGAGUGUUGAUGGUUUGACCAGAGAAAACGUUGCUAGUCAUUUGCAGAAAUAUCGCCUUUAUUUGAAGAGAAUGCAAGGCUUAUCUGGUGGUGGAGGUGGCGGUGGCGGUGGUGCCAACGGUGGAGCUGGUGGUGCCAGUUUGAGUGCCACGGCUGAUCCGGUGACUGACCAUCUGUUUGCAAGCUCACCGGUUCCACCGCACUUUCUUCAUCCGGGUAGGGGUAAUUCGGAGCAUUUCUUGCCGUUUGUACCAGUGCCGGCACUGCAGCAUCACCACCAUCACCAGCAACAGCAGAUAGUGGCAGCGGCGGUAGGACAUCCACAUCUGCAGACUCAGUAUCAUAGACAAAUGGGGCAUUUUGGAUCAUCCCCAAAUGGCCAAUUCGAGCACCCCUUCUUAGGCAGGCAGACGCAGCAACCAAUGCAUAGAAUGGGAGGGGCACCCGUGCAUAAUCAAGUUCCCAGUAGUUAUGUGGAAGAUUUGGAAUCUGCCAAUGGGAAUGGUGGAAGGAAGGUUCUUACUUUAUUUCCAACUGGGGAUGAUUGAUUCAAAACUUUGGUAAUUAUUGACAUUCCAUUUUCAUCAUUCAACUUUUCUUCUUUUAUUUUGAUUACUCCUUUUGUUUGAGUUUCAUCAUGUAGAGUCUUGGUCGGUGGGUGGUCAUUUUUCUUUUUUUUUUUUUUAAGUGAUCUUGACGGGGAGGUGGUAAUUGGCAAUGGACUUCAAUUUCUUAAUCUGAAUUUUCAUCUUGAGAUAGUGGGGAGUGUACUUAAUCUGGUAUUCUUUUACCACACUCCGUCAGGCAUUAGAGUUGGUUGCCAUGUCAUUUGUUUUAUAAUCUUCAGUUCUGCAGACUUCUACCCUUGUAAUUAAGUUGUCAGUGGCAGUCUGUGUUCUCGGUCAGCUUCUGGUGACGGAUAUUGAUCGUGAUGUCACUCUAAGCGACAAAAAGUUCCUAAGCUUAUCAAUGUUUGCAAUUACUUUGGUCUGGUGCUAUUGGAUUAAUCUGGACUGCUUAGAGGUUGUGUUACCCCAUUGUUGUUUGGGAUCAGCUCAUUUUACUUAAGUUUUGGAGUCUGCUUGCCUGGGAGGUCCUUCAGCCAUCAAGGUGGUUUUGAGGCAACAUGACUAAAUUUUGAGCUUGCUGGCGGGAAAAAUAAUGCUUACAUUCCUUGUUGGUGUCUUUGUUUCUUAUAUUGAGGUUCUCCAGUUUCCAAAAUUCUCUUCUAUGUUAAUCAUUUCGUCUUCUUAGUUAAGUGUUAUGUAGAGGUAAGUUGUAAUUGUACAUUGUGUAACUCCAUAGAAGACUUUGGACCUGUGAUAUGAAGGGUAUCUUUCAGGGAUCUCUGACUUUUUUUUAUGUUAAUUUUAUUCUAAUCCCCAUGAACAUUAGCUGGAUUUUCCGAAUUUCACAACAUCUCUAACUUUUUGUGUUGUUGUUGAAUGACAUAAAUUGUGUAGUGCGAAGUAGGACACUCAGCAUUUGUGAUGGAAGAAUCAUGUAAGAAUUCUUUUGCAUACUGCUGAAACAUAUGAUCUUCAAUCUUCAUUCUCAGUCAUUUGUGGCUGAAAUAUUAAUCACCUGAAACAAGAAGGCAGUUGAUAAAAUUCUAACCAGAAGUUUUCUUUUGUUCUAAAACAAACUGAGAAGAAUUUUGGUGUCAAUUUUUGGCACAGUGAGAGUGAGCAACAUCUUUGUGGUCAAAGUACAUAAUCCAUUUUUAUUGAGCUAUUUUAUUACCUUUUCAGUGCAUAUAUGAUUGUUUAAACCUUUGGAUGUUUUUCAUUUUUUUGAGCAAACUAUGUUAUCUUUUCCUUUUCUUGAAUCUUUAUCUUGUGGUUUCGUGACAUUUUGAACUUCUGAGCGUGGGCUGUUAUCUAUGCAAGUAAACAGAACAUAUACCAUACGUCCCCUACAUAAUUAUCUUUAAAUUUUCAAAACUGGGACAGAUUUCCAAUAAAGAAUUCUGUCAUAUCAACUUCCAAGAUAACUUGUGAUUACAGUACAUACCUGUAACUUCUAAGGUAGUUAAGUAGUGACCUAAUCUAUCGAUCACAUCUGAAACCUAACCUUGUGAUUGGUCAUGGGUGUCUACUUUAGCCUUUUAGUAUUUGUUCAGUACAUUCUAGUUGUUGUUAUAGGUAAUUAGUAUGUGAUAUGACAAUCUGAAAUGUAUGUUUCUCCAUUUAAUUUACCACAGUUGUAUGAUGUUCCUGGUCUGUACUUUUUUUCCUCCUUUUUUUGGUUAAUUCUUCUCAUUCUCUAGAUUUUGCGCACAUUUUUUAAUGUGGACCUAGAGGUAAGCAUGGCAGUUAAUCUUUUAACUGCUGAUUGAACUUGAGAAGUUUUGCUUAGGGAAAUAUAUGAGAUUGAGUUCUGUGGUUCAUUCCAUAGCUUCGAUGAAGAAUUUUUCUGCUUAUUUUCUGAAUGGGUAAGAACAGAAACAAUAUAUCCUUACGUAACUCAACUAUAGCUUUAACAAGCUGGUGAUACUUUUGAACUUGCUGAAAAAUCUACUUCUGCUGACUUCUUUGGAGUCAACUGUGGAUUAGACACAAAGUGGCAUCUGGACAACUAGGGUUGAAAAAUCUAUAAUUUUCAGAAUUUCAUUUGAGAGAAUGAUAUUUCAUAUCUAUAGCUACAUGGUAUUCAAUGUUUUAACAUCUCAUUCAGUUUGAUAUUGUCCUGGAGAGCGUUGGUAUUUGCAAUGAAAUUAGAAUUUAACAUAUUUUUUGUCCACUAGUUACUAUGAACACCAACUAGUUGUGCUUUGGAUCUUAAUGUAUUGUUAGGUUUUGAUUGGUAGGGUGACUUUGAUUAGUAUCUGUUUUUUGGUCAGGGGUUUCUUAUAAUAAACUAUAGUAAGUGGAAGAUUUAGCAUUGUGAAAGGUUUGGAUGUACCCUUUGCCUCCGCCAUUUUAGGAAUAAUUUUAGAUAACUUGUUGGAUAAAUGGAGUGUGCAACUCUUAGAUACCAGUGUAUUUUUUUGUUCAAUAUACCAUAACUGCUUAUGCAGCAGUGUUUGGAGGUUGCUAGUUGGAGCAACUUUCCUCCCCUCAUUACCCGUGACAAAUUGUUUAGCAAAUGGCUUAUUAUAGUUGUUAAGACUCAUUAGCUUUAGGCUAGAAAUAUUGCCACAGAUUGUUAUAGCAUUCUCCAAAAUUGUUGCUCUUACCAGAUACCAAUCUCACUCAUUCUGGUACUCACAGAAAUAGCACAUUCAACUGAGACUUAUUUCUCGCUCGUAGCGAUUGGAAUAGAGUGAUGCUGUCAGGUUCAGUGUUGGAAUCUGAGUGAUGAUCCAAUUCUCGGAAAUAGGCACAGACCUUUAUCAUGACUUGGUAUUACUACGAUCACACCUGAAUGAACAAUGAUCAUGCAUUAUUGCUCAGAAGCCUUCACGGUAUGGAUAAUGGAUAACAUGUCAAAUCUUGCCGGUGCAUUUUAUAGUGAUAAAAGUACACUCAUUUAACAAUGAUUAGUGAAUUUGAUCUAUGCAUAAGCUCAAGGCUUUAAAUGUCAGGCGAUUUUCCUAAAUAAUAAACCAUUAGCUGUCAAGGGAAAGGUGUUCAUCAUCAUGAAAUUUAAAAUGAAAUGGUAGUAACAUGGGCGGCAGAGCAAGAGGUCAACCCCUCUAUGUUUCUCCUCUUAUCUCUACCCCUUUUUUUCUAUAUUUCCUGGAUAAAAGGGGAAAUAUCAAUAACCCAAAAUCUGAAAACAGUCCAAAAUACAUCAACAUCGAAUGCCUUGAAACAAACCCACUAAAAUGUAGACGUUGCAAAACCUGAAUAAUUGAAGGAAAUGAUCAGCUAUAGAUCAGAGGAACAGGUGCCGACUUGCCGACCUAGAAAAAAAAGUGCCAACUUUUUUAUAAUAAAGUAAUGUUAAUAAAAAAAGUUGAUGAGAAUAUUCCGAAUAAUUCAACACAGUAAGUAGCAAUAUUAAUGAAAUAAAAGUGUUCUUAUAUUCUGAGAACAAAAAAUCUCAAAACCCGAAAGAAUUGGAACUAGAAAUGUCCUGAACCAAUGGGAAGUGAUCUCAUCCAAUUUCCAAGCCCAGAUGUCGGAUUGCUGCCUCUUAAGUUUUUGGCUAUCAAACCUUACCAUACUAUCAAAUGUUUGAACUUUGAAGACAGGCACAGAGAGGCAGAGUUCAAUUAUUCUGGCACUGCAGAAUCAGACUUCAGAGAUUAAAAGAAAAAAAAACCGAAAAGAGAACACAAAAGACAGGGUGUCUUGACUUGAUGCGGUUCACCAAAUCUUCUUUAUUCUUGUGGUGCCCCUAUUCUGAGGCUAAUAUUUUUAGAUGCAAACCCUGUCAAAAGCAUGUGGAAGACACCCUGGAUCUCACUUAAUUAUUGGACAUUAGUUUAGGGAAACUUGGGACACCAAACUUCUUGGUGAAACAUGACAAACAGCUUUGUCUGCGACUCUCAAGGAAAAUCAUACCAAAUCUGGUUGUAUACCCUAAUAGAAAUAUUUACGAUCCAUGAAACCAGAGAUAUUUUACAUGCGGAGGGUUUUGUUUCCAUUUUAGCCUUAUAAUAGACCAUAUUUAACAAAUAUGCCUUUGAAAAUAAAUUUUUUAGAUCUGCUUACGUGAUUAUAAAUUGUUACUAUUGCUAUUGCUUCCCAUACAAUGUCUACAUGGCAAGUUGUGGAUCUGAUCUGCCUGCACGGAGGAUGGCCAUCAUCGCAUCCAUUUCAGUUGCAUUUUAAGUUAUUUAUUUUCUUUUAAUUAGUAUUUGUCUGUCUUUAUUGAGUUUUGGUUUGAUUAAAAUUCGAAAUUUUAUUUGCUUAGAAUUUUAAUUUGUUGACAAUAUUGAAUAGUUACACAAUUUUAAAAUUAUUGUCUCACAUUAAGUGUUAAUCUUAUUUUACUCUGAAUUUUUUUAUUAUAAAAGUGGAUCUUUAAACUUGAGAAGUUAGGUAGUGUUUUUGGGAGCCUUAGAGAAAGAAAAUCUUCUAACUUUAUUUUCUACUUUAGAUGGAGCUAGAAUGGGCCUAAGUGAUUGUUCUUUUGAGACUAUUGAGAGAAUGUGUAGAAGAGUUCUUUGACUUGGUUUGGAAGACUGUAGAAUAGAGAUUUUAUUGUAUUUUCAUUCGUACUAGUAAAAAAUCUAUUUUACUCCGUAGACGUAAGCAAGUGAUGCAGCCAUAUAAUUUUUUUUUUCUAUUUGCUUAAUUUCUUUGGGAUUUAUCUUUAUUGUUUUUUGAGAAAAUUUUAGAACAAAUUGGUAUCAAAGCUUUCAGUUUGGUAAUCAAGAUUCAACAAAGAAAUGUUAAAAAGUUACUACUUUUAUGAAUUUAUUAAUUUAGAAGUUUGAUAAGAGGACUAAUUUCAUGCAAUGGUAAAGAAGGAUGAAAAUCUUCUUGUAUCGAAGGUUUGAUGAGCUCCUUCUUAGAAAAAGAGAAAAGGCAAUCGGAUGACAUAAAGGAUGUUGAAUGGGUAAAGUUUGAAGAAACGCAUGUUAGCACUAUUUGGUUAUGCAUUGGGGGUAACAUGUUUAAUAAUUUUAUUUAUGAGGAAUCCAUUCUAGAGAUGUGGCCAAGAUUUAUUAGGAGAAGGCAUUUUUGUUUCUUGCUUUUCUUUUAGAAUCUUAUGAGGUAUUUGUGGAAUUUUUAAUUUUGUUUUUGAAAAAUUUGUGGAAUCUCUAAUUAGCGAGAAAGAUACAAUAACAUUACAACAAAUACAAACAACAUUGAUAUCAUGUGAAGUUUAAAGAAACUAAGGAAGGGGGUAGAGAUUCAAUUAACUUGGCAUUAUGUCACGAUCCAAUCUCGAGUCCAAACUGAUGCAUGGGCCUAAUAGGCAAAGCACACUAGACCCAAGCAAGUCUUUCACUCCUCUAUAUUCAUGAACUUGUCACAUCAUUAAUAUACGUCUCAUAUCAACCAUCUAUAGCUAUUACGCAUCAUAUGUAUGUGUGUGUGUGUGUCUAUAUAUAUAUAUAUAUAUAUAUAUAUACNUUCAUGAACUUGUCACAUCAUUAAUAUACGUCUCAUAUCAACCAUCUAUAGCUAUUACGCAUCAUAUGUAUGUGUGUGUGUGUGUCUAUAUAUAUAUAUAUAUAUAUAUAUAUCAACUCUGAAAUGUCAUACAUGAAACAUAUCACAAUAUUUAUAAAAUUCAUCUAAGUCUUAGACCCUUGCCAACUCGUGGCUACAUCACCAUUUGUACUGGACAUCUAACAUAUACAAAAUAUACCAGAAUUGACACAUGAAUAGUGUUGUGACUUUGAGUAGGUGUCAUCUAGUGAAUGCCAAAAUUUACCUACCAGUAGGUGGGGUGUAGAUCUCCUCAAGCUAUGAUCCAACUACCUCUGGAUUUGAAAACCAAAAGUAUGAAUUUUAAAAGGUGAGCAUAAGAUUUAGUAAGGGACAUAAGAAAGGGAAUGAACAUAUACAGGGAUAAUUACUUUAUAAAACUAUGCCAUAUCCUUUGAAACCAUACAUAUUUUGCUUUAAAACCAAAUCCAUGAUGCGAUACAACUAUCAAACCACUAUUGUAUCCAUUUCAUGUUUCAAUCCGAGGUAACAGGGUUUUUCUAAGUAAAAUAGGGUUAAAUUUCACUAAAACAUCAAAUUUAGAUUGUAGAAAGACAACUCUAUUUUAUAGAGCUAUUUUGUCACAUUUUAAGCAUAAGAAUUAGCUAAAUCCUUGAGUUUUGAUUUGAAAUUGUCACGUUUUAGUGAUUUCUUUUAAGUUUAGUUUAAUUGCUUUAAGUAGUUUGAUUUUGAUUUGAUUUUUUGUUGAUUAAAUCAUUUUAUCAUGAUAGUAACUUAGUUUGUUUGAUCUUGAAAGGUGCUCGAUCGAAUGGCUUCAAAAUGGAAAAGAAAACCAAAGUAAAUACAAAAUGCAACAAGCAGAGUGUCGAGGCCUUGGGAACUUAGGUGCCGCGACGCCAAAAGGUGAUGCAUAUGGUGCACCAACCGAGAGUUGAAGGCCACAGCACCAAGGGAGCAACAUGUGAGCCAAAAUUCAAGGAAUUCAAGGUUGAAGCAUAGAAAAAUGGAGGCCGUGGUGUAGACAUGACUACUUUAUUUGAAUUUGAGUUAAAUUAGGGUUUUGGAGGCUAUAAAAAGGCAAUUUGAAGCAAGUCUUCAACACGCUUAAAACUAGAGUUUCUUUGAAGGAAAAAUAGUCUUCAAGCAUACAAGAAGGCAAGAAAGACUUUGGAAAAUUAAAGAUUGAAGAUCCAACAAAUCUCUAGUUUUCUUUUCUUCUAUGUUUCUUGUUAGUUUUUCUUAUAUUGUAAUUGAUAGUUAAACUUCUUUGGAUUAUGUUUUCAAUAUUUAGGAUGAGCUAAAUUUAUUUUUCUAAGAUUGCAAUUGAACGUAAUAUGUAGUUUGGAUUUUUAAUACUCUCUCUGUCUUAUGAUUAAUGGUAUUUGAGUUGUUUAUUCCAAUUCUAUGUUUAAUACGUUUGAUUGACUCAUCACCAAUUAGAUUGAUUGGGUAGCCUAAAUAAAUUUAGAAAAGGGAAUUUAGUGUAACACUACUAAAAAACAAGCUUUUUUCAAUGAAAUUUUCUGUUGAACAAAGUUAAAAUUCCGUUAGAAAUGCUUAUUUCUGACCGAUUUUCAACGAAAAAGUUGGUUGAAAAUUCCAUUGAUAAAAGCCUUAUAGGAAAUACUUUUCGUUGAAAAUCUGUUGAAAAAUUCCGUUGAAAAAAGUACAUAAUCCGUCAACUGUAUAGUAUCAAUUCCGUUAAAAAUUUUCAACGAAAUUCCAUUAGAAAUUUUUAACGAAAUUUUCGUUGAAAAUGCUUUUCCAACAGAUUUUUUUGUUGGAGACGCAUUUCCAAUGGAAAUUUUCAUUGGAAGUGCUUUUCCAACAAAAUAUUUCAUUAAAAAUUCCGUCGGUAAUACCUUUUCAAUGAAAAUUACCAAUUAACAUUUCGCUUAUAAAUUAUCAAUUGACAUCCACAAUUCUCAUCCAAAAUUUAUAAAAAUAUACAUUAAAAUCUAAAAUUCAAAGCCAAGUUCAUGUAAUUAGAAAUCAUCUUCAACACAAUAUUUAAAAAUGUCAACAAAUAUAAACAUAAAGCUAAAUGUACUAUUGGAUGUCAUACAAAAAAAGUACCAAAGUCCAACAAAGGUAAAGAUUUUAAGAUUUUAAGCAUGCGGAUCAAAUUCUAACAAAAGCGAUGAAUCUUCACCAUACUUCUGUGAUGAUGCAAAAUUACACAUUCCCUACAAAAAAAAAAACCUUAUGAAUUAUAUGUUAUUGAUAGAUGGAUGGUUAUUUGCUAACACAACCUAAAACAUAAAUAUUGAUAAAAAAAAAACCCUGAAACAUAUAUACAUAAAGUAUAUAUAAAGAGGAUUUAUCUUAUGCUUUUUUCCUCUUUUUUUUGCUUUUUAUCUAUCGUAUAUUGUAAUGAAUAAAAUUUGAAAAUGAGAUGGGAAUUCUAAAGAUACUUCCAACCAAGUUCUUUUUUAGCUUUCUCAAUAGAAGCAUAAAUAGCUGUAGCAUCUCCUAGCCUUCUUGGGCACAGUUUAAUUGGGAUUUUUUACAAUAUUUUCAGCAGUAGCAAUUUAAAAAUAGGAGAGAGUGAGAGUGAGAGAGAAAGGGGAGGAGGGGGGGAAGAGAGAGAACAUUCACCUUUCCAGAAGCUUUCUCAAAAGCAGUAACCAUUUCAAGUACAAAUGUAGCACAGUUAAUUCCAAGGUUAUAGGCAACACAACCUAAAAGAAAAGUUUAAACAACACAUAUAUUUACCAAUUCAUAUUGGUAAAUAUAUGAAAGUAAAUUCAUUAAAAUGUAAUGAUAUAAAUUGUUUACCAAUAUUCUGUGUAGUAAAAAGCUUCCUAAGUGUAGCAAUAUGACCAUUUGCUAAGUCCAUAACAUGGAAGUAGUGUCGGAUCUGUCAACAAAUGAGCAAUCUUGUUAAGAAAAACAAUCAAUUUAAUCAUUACUAAUAACGUUAUAUUGUAUGUAUAUAUAAGAAGGACAAAUACAUACUUGAUGUUCAGAAGGCACAUGAAAUGAAUUGCAAUGUUGACUCCACCAAUUGAAAACUUGCUUUAUGAAUGAUCUAUAAAAGCUUUUCAUGCUUCUUUAUUAUGAGCAAUUGAAAAUAAACAAAUUAUGUCCCCUGCUGGCACAUUGUGACUUUAGGCAUUUAUAUUAAGGAAUUAUAAUACUCUUGAGGAAAGGUUUACUACCAUCCAUUGGAUAAUGUAUCAUUGUAUGUCAUUAUCUACUUACGGCAAAAAAAGCAUUGACAGGACAAAGAAAGAAAAAGUAUAUAACUAAAGGAUAUGAAUUUUCAAACAAAACUAUGCAUUAGAGUUGAUAACAUAUUAGGAUACAAUGAAAAAUAUCCAUCAGGUCUUGGAAAAGUAACGUUUUGGCCACCAUUGAGUAUUAACUUUGACAUUUGACAUUCUUCUAGGCAAAGUAAACCCUUCUGUACCCAGACCUGCCAAAUAAAAUCAUCAAUCAACUGUGCAAAAAUUGAAAGAAACAGAUAAUAUAUCGUUAAAGCAAAAACUAGAUACAUAGUGCAAUGCAAACAAUGUGGUCGAAUGGAUUCAUGCUACAUUGGAGACUACAGCAACGUCACGUUGAAGAAGGAUUAACAAAUAUCUACCUUUCAAAUAUAUCAUCUGCAUUAAGGUUAAAAGGUUCUAUUGGAUGAAUUACAUCUUUUACCAAAACCUAGAAUGAGAUAUAGCUCCAUCUUACAUUAACUAGAUGCACUGACUAAUGACCUAAACAUAUAUAGCCUACGCCUUAUGGUAACAUGGAAGGGACAAAAACCAACACGAAACAAUAAGAAUUUUAAUGUAAGUCUUACUCGAAUAGUUCUAAUCAAGAUUCACAAACAUUUAUGUUACCUAUACAAAAGGCUUCCGUGAAGUUGCAUAAUAAAUCACCAUUUAUUUACAAAUCGCAAAUCAGAACAUUGUGCAUAUAUUCUAAAACUGAGGCAAGCAUUAUCACAGUAAAACACCGUAUUAGAAUGUAACAAAGAUAAAAAAAUAGCCAAAAUCACCAUAUAAUUGUAUAAUUUUGCAUAAAAUCAGUACAAAUUUGUCAAAUUUAAAAACUAAAAAGGGGAUAAUACCUUGGGGGAUCUUCACUUGACCAUUGAUGGUGAACUCAUCUCCAGAACUGCCAAAAGCAGAUAAACAAACAAGUGAUCAAGCUAAAACCAAAUAAAAGAUCCAUUUACAAGAGAGGAAAUUAAUUAAAAAAUUAUAUACUUUACAAAGGUCAACUGAACUAGCUAUUUAAUGGUGAUAAAAUUGCUAAAUUCAAUUUCUAGUUAAAAAAUCUAAAGUUCAAAAGAAUUCAAUCAGCUUUACCUUUUCAGCAAUCAAACAGAAAAUUAGAAUUAGUACAAAGAGAGAAGGCAGUGCAGAUAAAGUGUUUUCGGAAAAAUGAAGCAGAAAACUUACAGAGUCAUGGGUCAAAUAAAUGCUGCAGCAAUCACAAUAAUACCUGAAAAUUUGAAUCCAAAUCAAAAAUAUAUAAAAAGUUGAUAAAAUUGUUUAUAAUGAUGGUGUUAAUUUCUUUUAAGAAUGAAUAAAUUGGUAAAGAUCCAUUCCUGAGGCAUGACUUUGAAAACGUCAAAUUAGAAGACUUCUAGAGGCAACGAUGUUGAAUGUAAUGCUUGCAAGUGUCUAAGUAAAGACAGAGACAUGGUUUUUUGUUAUUUAAAUGCUGUGCAGGAAAUUGUUUUUUGUUGUGCUGUACAAAGAACACCAUACGUGGUGUUAUGCAUGUACCUUGUAACUGAUGCUUUACACUUGUUUGUUUAGUUUGACAAGUGUUAAUGAUGUUUCUAUGUGCAUGUUAACUGUUCUGUAAAUAUAUAUAGUGAAAACAAUGAAAUGAAAAAGAUCUGAUGGUUUUUUAUGCAAACUCUGUUUCAUCAACAAAGUAGAGGCUAAUAUCAGUAGCCUAUAUCCUUGUUUGACUGCAAUCUCAACAAGCGACGGAGAAAAGAAAAGUGAUGGUGGGAGGACUCGGGUUUAGGGUUUUGUAGAGGAUGAGAGUUUUGGAAGGAAUUGAUCGGUGGAAAUGCAAAGGAGGAAAAAAGAAAGAACACGAUGGGACUUUCAACGGUGGUUAACGACGGGACCGACGGUGGUGAAGGAAAAAUAGAGGGAGGCUAUAUAGUGUUUUGACUAACUGUUCCACUAAACUAAGAUUUUGAGCUGGAGUUCCACUGGGUCGAAAAGAUUGAGCUGGAGGUAGAGGGUGGAGGCAAGAUUAAAAUGUUUUGAGAAAUAGCACUCAGAAUUAGUUUUAGGAUUUCAACGAAAAUAGUUUUAUGUAAAAUAUGUUGUCCCUUUUAGUAAUAUGAACGGUUGGUAUAAACGGCAAAGAUUUCAAAUGUUUGCAAUUUACACAUGGAUCAAUAUCUAAAGACAACAAAAUUUUACACGUGUUGAUUUAUAAUUAUUAUAAAUUAUUAGUUGUUAAUAAUAAAUUUUAAUAAUGAUAUAUUUGUAAUAAGCUUUAUUAUAUUAAUUAUAUAUAUUAUACAUAAUAUUAUAUAAAUUUUAAUAAUGAUUUUGUUUAUAAUUUAAUAAUAUUAAUAAAUUAUAUAUAUACAUAAAAUAUUAUGUAUAAUGUAUAUGAUUAAUAUAAUAUGUAUAAAUAAUAUAUUAAUAAUAUAUGUAUAAAUUAAUUAUACAUAUAAUAACAGAUUACUCUUUUAUAUACAUGUAUACAUAAACAGGUAUACAUAUAUAAAUAAUUUUUUUCGAAAAUUACAUUUAUACAUAUAUGUAUAUAGUGUUUUCUUUAAUGAAAUUUAUUAAUUAUUAACUAAAUUUUUUAUUUUGUAAAAUAUUAAUUACUUAUAUAUCAAUAAGUAUAAGCAAUAUAUUAAUUUUAUAUAGUAUAUAUUUAUAUGUAUAUAUAUAGUUAAUAUUAAAUUAUAUGAAUAUUAGCAAACAUAGCUAAUAUUAAUUUUAUAUAGUAUAUAUUUAUAUAAAUUACUUUAUUAUAUAUNAACAUAAUGUUAUAUUACUUUAUUGUAUAUAUAUUAAUCAUACAAAUUAUAUGUUAUAAUGUUAUAUAUUACAACGUUUGUAUAACUAAUAACUAAUUGUAAACAACAUAUUAUAAAACUAAGGUAAUAACUAAUAAAGUUAUUAACUAUAAUCAUAAAAAUAAAAUUUAUUGUAAACUUACCUGUAAAAUAGAUAUAUGUAUAUUAUAAUUAAUACAUAUAUAACUAUAAAGUUAUAUAUACAUAAGUGUAAUAAUUAUAACAUAUUAAUAUAUAUGUAGGAUAUUUAAUAUCAUAUAUAUUAUGUAUAUGUAUUAACUUAUAAAGUUAUAUAAUUUAAAAUAGAUAGCUUAUAAUUUCAUAUUAAUAUAAGUUUAUAUAUAUACAUAUAUAUAUUAUUACUAUGAUUCUAAUUUGUACACAUAUAAUAAACUAAUAUAUUUUAGAUAAUAUUAUAUUAAUAAGUUUACUAUAUACAUAUAUCAGUCUUCUUAAUUUAUGUUAACUAAUAUUAGUAUGUACUUAAAAUAUUAUUAGUUUUUGUUUAAUAUAUUAUUAGAUUUUAUCAUCUAUUUCCAUAAAAUUAAAAAAGUUAUUAUGUUAUUUUUAUAUAUUUUUAAUUUUAUAACAUUAAUGAAUUUGAAACUAUUAAUUUAUAAUUUAUGAUUCACAUUGUCAAAAUAUAUAAAAAAAAUAAGUAAAGGAAAACAUAUUUAAAAUUUUAAUAUUAUAAAAUUCAGUAUGUAUAUAUUUAAUUUUAUUAACAUAAUUCCUAUAAAGGAUUAAUAAAAUUUUUAAAAAUUCUUAAUAUAUUUUAAAUAAAAAAUUUUAAAAAUAGUAAUACCGAUAAUAUUCUUCAACGAAAUAUUCCAUUGGAAAAUUUUCGUUGGUAAUAGCUUUUUUCAACAGAAAAUUCCGUUGAAAAAUUUAGCUGGCUUUAAUUUUUUUUUGGUGCCAUAAACUUUCCAACGAAAUAUUUUCCGUUGGAAAAUUCCUAUGAAAAUCCGUCGAAAAUUCCGUUGGAAAGUUUGGUGAGAUUAAAUUUUUUUUGUGCCAAAAAAAUUUCCAAUAGAUUUCUAGCGGAAAUAUUCCGUUGGAAAAAUUUCGUUAGAAAUCCAUUGAAAAUCCGUCAUAAAAAGUCAAAUUAAAUUUUCGUUGGAAAUUUCUAACGGAAAAUUUUCAAUAGAAAUUUCCAACGAAAUUUUGUUCGUCGGAAAAAACCGGUUUUCUUGUAGUGUAAGACAUGGAUGGAAUAGCAUAAGUUCAAAUUCAUUGAGUUGAUUGAGUGAUUUGUUUCGCGUGUGAGAUAGAAAUAUACUUACAUGUCAUAUGUAGCCAAUAUUAGAGUCUAAGCUUAAUAAGUCGUUCUUUGAUUUAAUUUGCAUAGGAAUAUAGUGAAUUGGUAUGAGAGAGAUAUUUUUGUAAGAACAUCGAAAGAUACUUAUAAAUAAAUUAGAACUCUAGGUUAACAACUUAUUCUAUUAAGUAAGUUAAGAGAGAGAAGAAGAGAUUCAAAUGAAGUGUUGAGGGAAAUUGUAGUCUUAGGCUUUUUCUGAUUAAUUUUUCAAGUUUAGAUUGUCAUUCUUAUUGCUAGUUUAGAUUUUUAUUUUACUCCUUAAUUUAAAUUUUGUGUUGGAUAAGAUUAAAUUGUUUCAAUUUUAAUAAUUAAUGAAUUUGGUAAUAAAUCCUUAUUGCAACAACAGUCUACUCUUCACUAUAUUAAAUGUUUGCGAUAUAUGCACUUGUGUAGUAAAAUCAACAACAUAGAGAUCGAUACUUUUGCUGAAAGUAUCAAUACCUUUAAAACAAGGAACCCCUACACCUAUUAUGUAUUAAAAUUAUUGAUACUUUUGUUCCAAAAUACUUUUUAAACAAUUAUGAAGAACAAGUAUUGAUACCUCAUGUAUAUUAAUACCUCAUUCAAUAUCUAAACUUUUAGAAUAGAUUAAACAUUUUUCAAGUUUACAACUUUAAUCCACAAAGACUUAAACAUAAAACAACCUUUAAAGCACCUCUAGAUUACAUAAGUCUGCAUGAAAACAUAACUUAAACUCAAUUUAUCAUUUUAUACAAAAAUCAUUUCAUAAAUGUAAUACCCCUGAUUUUUUAUAUGGCCUAAAUGUGAUGUUGGCCAAGUGAUUUAAUGUGUAAACUUGAAAACUUGAUUUAUCUGCUUGUGGAGCAUGCAUAUGAGCUACUGUGGUCUAUAGAGAAAGAUUUUGAAUUUCAGUGUACAUUGAGGAUUCUAAUAAUAUGAUGAAAUAGCUAAGCCAAUUGAUGAGCUAAAUUGAACUUUGGUGAAUAUGACUACACUUAUAGGUGUAUGACUAUGAAUAUUGGUAUAAAGGAGAGUUUUCAAUGGAAUUAUGCAUAUGUUUGGCACUUUGACACCUAAAUACGACAUUAAGGCAAAUAUCGAUCAAAAUGAUGAAUUAAUCCUAUAGCUUGAGGAUUUGAUUUAAUUUGAUGUAUAUUUGAGAAUAUAUGCAUAAGGAUUUGAAUUAUAUGAGUUAUUUGAGGUAUGAGAUUCAGAGGGUAUGGGUUUGGGGUGUUAAGUUAGAUUUUUGAAAGUUAGAAAAGACUUAAAACAGCCUACAGGGGAAAACGUAUUGAUACAUCCUCUCAUGUAUAGAUACAUUCUUGGCAAGAAGAACAACAUGAGGUGUCCUUGUGGAAUUCUAUCGGCACAUUUAAGGAUGUAUUGAUAGAUUUGGAAAUUUGAUGAAAAUGUAUCGAUACAUUGUCCUAAUGUAUCGAUACAUUUGAAACAGAAAGCACUUGUCACGACCCGAAACUCCCAUCGAACCCGUGACAACCGCCACGACGUCCCGAUAGACAUUCAUUACCCGGAAUGUCAAUCGAAACGUUGCAAGGCUUAACAUCAGUUUUUCUCGCUUCCCCUGUGAGUAUUAGUCACUAAAAUUAUGUUUUGAGAGAUUAUUAACAUUUUUCAAAUCAAAACAAUAGAAAAACAAUUUUUUUCUCACAGGGGCAUUUUGGUCAUUUUUCCUUAAAAAUCUCGAAAUCCACUAAAAAUGUAGUAUGCGAGUACAAAACACAUAAUUCAUAAUCAAAAAUAAGUUUAAACAUCUAAAACCUUCAUUUAAAAUGAAAUUAUGAUUAUUUAGAUAUAAUAAAAAAUAAAAGAAAUAUUCAAUAAAAUAUUCUAUUUUCUUAUAAAAUAAUAUUUUCAGAGUUAUACGUAAAUAAUUUUGGUAGUGUAAAAGCUAAAUAAAUUCAUACAUACUGUAAUACAGAUAACCAAAAUAUAAAAUUUAAUUUACGGUGACACAUGGGCCCACGAAUGACCAAAAGUAUUAAAAGCAGUAAACCUAUAAUUUUUGAGGAUGCAAGUCCAACUGUAGCCCUCAACAAAGUGAGCUAUCUACCAACUAUCCUGAGCCUGAAAGGGGUGAAAAGGAGGGUGGUAAGAUUAUAUAAUCCUAGUGAGUAAACAAAUAGCAUCUAAAAUAUCUAAAGUUAAGUAAAUAGAGACAGAUAAAAUAAUUUAACAUACUGUAAUUUAUCACCUUUCAACUCAUUUCAAUCAAAUAAAAUCAAUUCAUAUAAAUCGAGUAAUCAACAUGGCUUAUGAAUUUCUUAAAAGCUUUGGCUCGUGCCAAAAUCAUUUUCAUACUCAGUUAUCAGGGAUACUUUGGUCGAGGGCUAUCCCAACAGAGACCGCCAAGGUUGUUAAAAAGUUAAGUACACAUAAAUCAUGUUUUUAUUUUGAAAAUAUAGUCAUUCCUUGACAUUGGCUGAGUUCACCCUCACCUGGUGGUUUGGCGUAAAGUGAACUCUAAAGUGUUAACCUCAGGAGUUAUCCAACCACACCUCUCAUCUUGAGGUAUGAAUAUAAUAGGAUUACCAUGCCCCUCUAAUAGGCUAGUCCAUGGAACCCGACCACUACAGCGACUAAUUUAUAACCCACCAUAUAAUAAAAUUUGCAAUAGCAUGAUAUGGCAAUUAUUUUAUUUUACAGCCUCUCAAGGCAAAUUAGCAGUUCAUACAUUUUCAACACAUUUACCAAAUCAACCAUUCAUGCCAAUAUUAUCAUAAGCCAUUCAAUUCAAACCAUGAUUUAUAACACAGCAAUUAGUCUCCAAUUACUCCAUUUUCCAAAACCAUCAUUCAAUUUCAAGACAAUUUUAUAAAAUCAUUUCAUUUAAUCACAUUUUGCUUAUAAAACAUAAAGAUUUGCCAUUUAAACUCAUUUUCCAUAAAAUCAUAAAAAACCCAAUAAAAACUACUUUCGAUAAUUAAGACGAUAAUAAGGUUACUCACUAUUUCGGGAGUCGAAUUCCAAGUACUCUGAUUCUUGAUUCUCAGGUAUUAUCUCUUUACUUUUGCCAGAAUGCUCACCACCUAGACAUAAUGCACAAUAAGCC